rnacentral:misc_RNA from 1 species
CUUUGCCCUCCCAGCGGUGGCGCGUCCACGCGACCACAAUCCCCACCGCGAACAACGCCAGGCUGCCGAGCAACGCGAGCAGUCCAUCCGAGCCAUAGCGCACCAGCCAGUUGCUGGGACCGGAGCACAACACGACCGCCGAGGCUAUGGGUAACACCAGAGAACCACGCUCUCCGCGCAGCCACCACGCCACCAGCCAGGCGGCCAGAACAAUCAUGGCCGCGAAACCGACCCAGAGAAUUCCUUCCCAGCGCAGUUCCCUGGUCCAGACACACGCAUCCGCCACCCACGCCAGAGCCGCCAGCCAGCGUAGCACGCGGGAGCCGGAGUGUUCGGGGUCGGACCAGCGAAGACUGUGCAAGAGCAGGAAGACGAGUGACACUUGAGCGAUACCAUGCAG